ensembl:lncRNA
AGCUUUCCUUUCAAGGGAGGCGGUGGGUGGGAGCUGGGAGAAUCACCACGCCUGUCUUGUUUCCUCAGCUUCAAUGUGAAGGCAUUGCUGCUGCCACCCUCCUACUGAUGAUGGGACCAUCUACUCAAACUCGUCCCCUCUUGUCGGAGAAUCAGCUGGAAGGUCAGGUGGAUGAAAAAUGUGUUUGCCCAGCCUGGUAAAAGGAACUCAGCUCUGGCCUGGAACAAGACCUGAAGGUGUGCAGCCACUUGAGAAGACUUCUGCAACACAACUAUACCAAUGGACAAAGAGAGCGGAGUGUUAAUUCUGAGGCCAGUCUAACCUCAAUGACAAGUGGGCUGGUAAACAGAUGGAAGAAGCUAAUGACUAUUUAGUGUUUUCUUUCAAGGUGAGCAAAAGCCUCUUUGGCUUCUGAGGUAGCAACACCCUUACCUUAAAAGGUUUGAAUUGAU